CCUACGGGAGGCAGCAGUGGGGAAUACUGCACAAUGGGCGCAAGCCUGAUGCAGCCAUGCCGCGUGUGUGAAGAAGGCCUUCGGGUUGUAAAGCACUUUCAGCGGGGAGGAAGGCGGUGAGGUUAAUAACCUCAUCGAUUGACGUUACCCGCAGAAGAAGCACCGGCUAACUCCGUGCCAGCAGCCGCGGUAAUACGGAGGGUGCAAGCGUUAAUCGGAAUUACUGGGCGUAAAGCGCACGCAGGCGGUCUGUCAAGUCGGAUGUGAAAUCCCCGGGCUCAACCUGGGAACUGCAUUCGAAACUGGCAGGCUAGAGUCUUGUAGAGGGGGGUAGAAUUCCAGGUGUAGCGGUGAAAUGCGUAGAGAUCUGGAGGAAUACCGGUGGCGAAGGCGGCCCCCUGGACAAAGACUGACGCUCAGGUGCGAAAGCGUGGGGAGCAAACAGGAGUAGAUACCUAGUAGUC
rnacentral:rRNA from 1 species